CUUCAUUGGUACAUCCAUACAUCCAACUACUCACUUCUCUUCCCACCUGCCCUUCCAUUCAACUCACUCCUCCAUCCAUCCAUCUCUCACACCCCAUCUGUAUUGGUCACUGUGGAUUCCACCAUGAACUACUAGUAAAUGUGUCUGGCCCCUCUUCUAAGAUCCAGCCUGUGGCAGAUUGCUGGUCCCUCUCCUCAUGACCAGGGCCAGCCAUGCUCCUGUCAAAGCCUCACCUAGCCUCUGACACAGACACCUACCUUGGCCUCCCUGGUCACAGCCUCCCUUCAGCUCCUCCAAAGGGCCCUUGCACUAGGCUCUUCUUCUUCCAGACCUGAGUCUCAUCUGCCCCUCACCUCAGCCUUGGUUGUCCUUUGCUCAUCAGGUCUCAGGUUCAACCUGGGGCUCUGUGUCUCUCUCAGCAAGUGGGCCUCCCAGAUCUCCCCCAACCCCUACCUCAGUGAGCUGGUUAGUCCUUCCUGUGUCUGCAGCUUUAUCUCUCAUGAG